GUACACGCUGUGACUAGCAUAUCAAUAAGCGGAGGAAAAGAAACUAACAAGGAUUCCCCUAGUAACGGCGAGUGAAGCGGGAAGAGCUCAAAUUUGAAAUCUUAAAGGGUUUCCCUUUACGAAUUGUAGUUUAAAGAAGUGUUUUCUGUUGAGGUUUUGGUAAAAGUUCUUUGGAAUAGGACAUCAUAGAGAGUGAGAAUCCCGUAUUUGACCUUUACUUUCAACUUUGUGAUACACUUUCAAAGAGUCGGAUUGUUUGGGAAUGCAGUCCAAAAUGGGUGGUAAAUUUCAUCUAAAGCUAAAUAUUGGCGAGAGACCGAUAGCGAACAAGUACCGUGAGGGAAAGAUGAAAAGAACUUUGAAAAGAGAGUUAAACAGUACGUGAAAUUGUCAAAAGGGAAGCGUUUGACACCAGUGUUGUUUUUCUGAAAAUCAAUUAAAGAACUGUUUAUGCUAAGCUGUUUAGACUUUAUCAGCUAACUGUUUAGUUUUGAGCUUUUCUUUAAUGCACUUUUCAGUUAACAAGUCCACAUCAAUUUCUUUUGCUGUAAAAAAGCUUGAGGAAGGUGGCUUGAGAUUCGUCUUAAGUGUUUAUAGCCUCUUGCCUAUGCAGUCGGAGAGAUUGAGGUCUGCAGCGUAGAUCCUUCGGGGCUAAAUGCAUUUGUGCUAAGUUAUAGCAUUUUAUAGACAACUUGUUGACUAUGAUUUGUCUUGUAGCUUACUCGCUUAUGUUAUUUUACCUACGCUUAGGAUGUUGAGUCGUAGAGCACGCAG
rnacentral:rRNA from 1 species